rnacentral:lncRNA from 1 species
UUGGAGAAAGAGUUCCAAAUCAAAUCUAGGUGAUUCUUUGCUAUUCCUCCAUCCUCCAGUGACCUUCAUCGAUCUAUCUUUAACCUCAAAAAGAUCUACAGUGAUUGAAGAAGAAGAUCCAAUUAGAUCAGGCAUCAAAAGCAAUUUUCGUGAGCUAGCACUUUCGGAGACAACAGAUUAGAACCAGGACUUCGUGUGGACAUUUUGUAGAGGCCGGACAUGCUGUGUGGCUGCGAGAAACUAGUGAGGACCUCCAAAUCUACGUUCACGAUCGUGGCAUUUGGCUAUCUGCAUUUAGGUAUUGGGUUCGGAUCUCUGAUUAUUGUAGAUCAGAUCUACUGCUUUACUUGUUUUCAUGCACAUCAUGCAAAUUUUGUUAUUUAGAUUUUUUACAUACACAUAUAUAUGCCAUAGAUCCUAUUGUAAGAUGUUUUAUGAUCAAAUCAUGUGCUUGCAUUAUAGAUUAAAAUAUUUAAUCUAAAAUUAUUUUGUUAUAAAUUUUUAAAAAUACAUGCAUGAAACCCCUACGGUAUUCCUUUAGUGGUAUCAAAGCCGCGUUGCUCAUGACAUGUAUAUUCUACAUGUAUAUUUAUAAAAUCUAAAUUUUAAUUAUUUAAAUUAGAUCUAAAUAAUUAUUUUGAUUUUGAAUAAUAUAGUAGUCAGAUUGGGUAGAUCAUCAUAGCCGUC